ACAAAAACAUGGCCUUUUGAGUGGAAUUUAAGGUCGGGCCUGCCCACUGACGUAGUUGAAGGGCCGCGGUAUUUUGACCGUGCAAAGGUAGCAUAAUCAUUAGUCUUUUAAUUGAGGGCUGGAAUGAAUGGUUUGACGAAAUAUUAACUGUCUCUGUAUAAUAAAUGGAAUUUAACUUUUGAGUCAAAAGGCUUAAAUGAAUAUAAAAGACGAGAAGACCCUAUAGAUCUUUAUAUAGUUAAGUAAUUGUUUUAUUUAGUUGUUUUGUAUUCAAUUAUUUUGCUGUAUUUUGUUGGGGUGACAUAAAGAUAAAAAUAACUCUUUAUAAUGGGAACAUUGAUUUAUGAGUGAUUGAUCCGUUAUUAACGAUUAUAAGAUAAAGUUACCUUAGGGAUAACAGCGUAAUUUUUUUUGAGAGUUCUUAUCGACAAGAAAGAUUGCGACCUCGAUGUUGGAUUAAGGAAUAUGAUUAGGUGUAGCAGUUUAAUUAAUAAGUCUGUUCGACUUUUAAAUCCUUACGUCAUCUGA
rnacentral:rRNA from 1 species